AUUGAACGCUGGCGGCAGGCCUAACACAUGCAAGUCGAACGAGUGGCGGACGGGUGAGUAAUGUCUGGGAAACUGCCUGCUGGAGGGGGCUAACUCCUGGAAACGGUAGCUAAUACCGCAUACCCUCAGAUGUGCCCAGAUGGGAUUAGCUAGUUGGUGGGGUAACGGCUCACCAAGGCGACGAUCCAUUGCUGGUAGGAGAGGAUGACCAGCCACACUGGAGCUGAGACACGGGCCAGACUCCUACGGGAGGCAGCAGUGGGGAAUAUUGCACAAUGGGCGCAAGCCGGAUGCAGCCAUGCCGCGUGUAUGACGAAGGCCUUCGGGUUGUAAAGUACUUUCAGCGGGGAGGCGUUACCCGCAGAAGAAGCACCGGCUAACUCCGUGCCAGCAGCCGCGGUAAUAC
rnacentral:rRNA from 1 species